UAGGUUCAAUGUACACUCAUGAGACGUCUCAGGUCAUGCAUGCAGAGAACCCAGGAUGCUGUCCCACACAAGUAAUGCCUUCGGGUUGUGGAUGGAGGUCUUCGACGAGGCUCCAAAUUGCAGGAAUCUCCCUGCAGCAUAUGCUCUCCUCCGCACUGCUCAUGGGCUGACAGUGUCCACAUAAACACCUGUAAUUAGAUAACAUGCUGUUAAAGAAUUUCUGUUGUUAAAUGUAGAUACAGUGUUGUAAAUAUAUGUUCAACCAUGUAAAGAUUUUUAUUUUUUUUACUUUUACAUACAGGCUUUAAAAAUUAAAUGUUUAUAUUUCAUCCGUAGUCAUAGCUGCUUAUAACAUGCUGAAACAUUUCAUGUAAUACAUAAAGCUGAGAUGCCCUUUU